CGGCCGUCUUUCUUUUUUUUUUUUUUUUUUUAUCACGAAAAAAAAAAAAGGGAAUAGGUGGACCGUCAUUCCUUAGCGUAGCUAGGACGGAAGGUAUCCUUCAUCCGCACUUCAUACUCGUGACGUGCAUGGGCUCUUGAUUCCCAUUAGUCCGCGUCAAUGUCGGCCAACUGCCACUUGCUCCAACAGUUGUACGAGGUUUUCUUACGGAUCGAUCGGCCAUUGGCAGUCAAGUGGUACGUUACUAGAAACACAGUUUUACAAGUAGAUAGACAACACAGCGGGCGGAAAUACAGAUGGGCCCCUCCCCGUGCAGUCUCGCCAGCAAGUUCAAUCAUUUCUGCAAUUGUCCUGAAAGUUGGCUUUUAGAGAGGGGGGGGGGGGGACUACGCCAAAACUCGCUCGAUGGCAAAGAGGUUUGGAUAGAGCAAUCAAGCGAUGGUUUGUGAUGUUGGAUGCUGACUUCUAUUUCGUGUACUAAACAGCUGGGGCUUUCGUUUAUACCCUUGUUUGCAUGUUGUGCGGGCCUGACCUGGAAUUUUUGCUGUCCAACUACAUUAACAUUAGCAAUCACUUAAAUUUUCUGGCGGCUGAAAAGGAAAGGAAAAAAAAUGGAAGUAUAAAAGUCACGCUAUUGUCGUUGAGAGAUUUAAAGGCUUACACAACGAUUGGACGUGUCUCGCAAGUCGCGUUCAAAAAGCCCAGGUGUUGGUGCGGUUGUUAAGGGCACCAGAAAGCGAUCAACUGGUUCGCCACACCUGCGAAUUUGCAAUGGGAUACUAACACGACACUUUUGCGCAGUUCUCUUCAAAACUGUCGUUUGUGCUUUUUUUGUGUGUGUGUGAUUUGUUUUCCUUUUCAUCUAAAUGGAUAUCCGAUAGAUUUCAAGCGAGAAAACUGAUUAGAAUUAAAGCGGAGGAUCAGCUGUUUUAUAAGAACAAAGUUACAGUUUGCCAAGUUUUCUCUUUUUUCAGUUGUAUUUCUUAUUAGAUUACAGUUCCCUUUUUUUUUCUUCCCUUCUCUUUCCGAGAAAAAAAACGCAGAGAUCAAGUGAAAUCUGCUCGACACGAGUCUCUCGCCACGUACUUGACCAUGCAGUUGAGCGCGGCGACUUAACGCUACCUUUGGGAAAUCCCGGACUUUUUCUUUUUCCCAUUUCUUUUUUUUUUGUAUUUGAAAAGUCCCACGUAGGACUUGCACCGGCCUUGGGGGUUCUUUGGUCAACCUCAGCCUUCGAGUAGAGCGCUGGAUGUGCUGCUGGAAUCUGUUGAACCACCUACACUCUGGUAGAUCAAUGGCGGUCGUGAAUCCUCUCACGUGAAGGGGAAGAAAAAGAAAAAAAAAAGAUCUCUUACCUCGUCGACAUUUGAUAGUAGCGCUUCUUUGCUGCUUUUUUUCUAUUGACUUUGAUCAUCGUUUUCAAUCAGACCCUCCUCUGCCUUACGCGGAGUUUUCGUUCGGAGGGUGAGACACAUCUCGUCAGGCAUCACAUCUCUUUAGCCGUGAAAAACACAUACGGAUGUAACCGAAUUCCGGUCUGAUGGAGCGGUAAAUGAUGUCUUCAUUUAAGUUUGCUCCCACCCCUCUCUCAAACCCUUUUCUAAAGUUCAAUCUGCUAAUCAGGCAAACGUUAGACACUUGAACGAAAAUUCCAUUAAAUGGAAAUGAUAAUUUUAGAAUUUUACGACUCGCAAUUGGCGCCAUCUACCAGCCAACGUUUCAUUUCCUGCCUUAAUUUAUUCACCCCCAUCAAGAAUGUUAUAUAUUUUUUUUUUUGUUAUCUCGGGGCCUCAUCAUUUUGCGCUAUACAUUUUUCUUCAUGAAAGAGUUUUAAAAAUAAAUCAAAUAGAACGUCGCGCUAUAAAUUCACCGUGUGCGCGCACGUCUGUGGAUUAUUGGCGGGAAAUUAUUCCGGUAACAUUUUGUACAGCUGCGCCGCGCCGGCCCGCGUUUCGCCCGCAUCCUACGAUCUUGAGCGGGAGGGGGGUACUUGUAUUUGGAGCGGGAACAACCAACUUGUAUAUUACACGAGACUACCGUUCGCAUAUGAGUUUGUAUAGUAGCAACCUUCUGGUAGGACGCAUCCCGGCUUCUUCAUUUUCUUUCCACCCCGUCUGUCUUUUGUUUCAACUAACAACAUUGACCUCAGUCUUCAACUGUUUCGAUUACGCAAAAAAAAAAAAAAAAACCUUCUGGGAGAUGCGUGUCAUUUCUCUCAAAGUGAUUUACAAGCCGUGGCUCGUUACGGACUUGAUUCAGUGUUACGCAUUCUGAAGAACUUCGCAAGAUUUGCACAAAGUUUCGCUACAAUUGAAAAUGAUGUCAACGGAUCAUCACCGUCUCAUCUUAUUCUUCUCCGUCAUCAUCAUUAGCACCUGUCAAGGUUCUCGGCACCAUUCGCGAACGACGACGAAUCAGCAACAGCCCGCGAUCGAAGACGACGGCCAUCAGGACGCCCUUGACAAUAGACUGUGGACUUCGAAGCAACUCAACGACGACGAAUAUUCGUAUCCAAUUGGUGGCCACGAUUUUGUUCUGCCACGAUUUGCCGAGUCUGUUAAUAAUGUUACGGUGGUAGCCGGGCGCGAUGCCACGUUGCACUGCGUCGUUGACAAUCUCCAAAAAUUCAAGGUGGCAUGGGUGCGAGUGGACACCCACUCUAUACUGACCAUCCACAACAAAGUCAUCACAAGGAAUUACAGGAUAGGACUGGCGCAAGCAGAUGGUCGCAAUUGGGACUUGAAGAUCAGCAACGUCGCCGAAUCCGAUAGAGGAUUCUACAUGUGCCAGAUCAACACAGACCCUAUGCGCUACCAAGAAGCCUACGUCGAAGUAGUCGUGCCUCCGGAUAUCAUCGAUAGUGAAUCAAGCACGGAUACGAUAGUCCGUGAAGGAUCUAACGUAUCGCUGACGUGCGCAGCCAGUGGCCAUCCGCAGCCCCACAUUUUGUGGAGGCGUGAGGAUGGCGCUUCCAUCACCAGAGGCAAACUAAAGUCCAACUCUUUUGAUGGCGAGGUCCUAGGUUUGCCGCGCGUUUCCCGGCUUCACAUUGGAGCUUAUCUGUGCAUUGCUUCCAAUGGUGUACCGCCAUCGGUUUCAAAGCGCAUAGUCCUCAAUGUUCAAUUUGCCCCAGUUUUGUGGAUUCCCAAUCAACUGGAAGGCACUGUUGUUGGACAGCAAGUCUCACUUGUCUGCCAGAUUGAAGCCUUCCCAAUACCGAUCGUUUACUGGACCACGGAAAACGGAGAAAUCAUCAUAGAUAAUUCUCGUUUCACGAUGACGGUGACGCUGGAAAACGAAUAUAAAAUGACCAUGACUCUGAAUAUCCGCAAUUUAUCUACCGAAUUUUUCGGCGGAUAUCGAUGUAUAGUGCGCAAUUCACUAGGAGAAACGGACGGCAUGAUCCGGCUAUAUGGUAACCAGACAACAAGAGAAUUGUUUUAUCUAUUGUUUUGGACCCUUCCAUCCCAUGGUAGAUCCACCAUUUAUAGGGGCAGACCUCUCUGUGUAAUCUAGACGCUAUCGCAUCUGGUUAGCAUAUCGAUCGGGACGACAUAUUUCCGUACUAUGACGUGCUGGAGAUGAACAUCUGCUUGAGGCGCAAUCCGAAACAGCGCUGUGAAGUUCUCUUAAAGACCUACUCCAGUACGUGAGCGGUUUGACGGAACUAUAGACGACAGACCUGCAGUUGAUAGGAUUCUGAAGGACACGUCCGGCUUUUCAAUAAAAUUAUCCGCGGUUAGAAGUUCCGGCUGUUCCGCGCUCGUCCGUCGAUUUAGACCCUCCCUAUGAUUCGGAAAUGGAUGACUCACAAUCGGACAAUGCCCAGCUCAAACUUCGCGAGAAGAACAACCAACCAUCGGGAAG